rnacentral:rRNA from 1 species
UACGGAGGAUCCGAGCGUUAUCCGGAUUUAUUGGGUUUAAAGGGUGCGUAGGUGGCCUAUUAAGUCAGGGGUGAAAGACGGUAGCUUAACUAUCGCAGUGCCUUUGAUACUGAUGGGCUUGAAUACACUUGAGGUAGGCGGAAUGUGACAAGUAGCGGUGAAAUGCAUAGAUAUGUCACAGAACACCAAUUGCGAAGGCAUGCUUACUAAAGUGUUAUUGACACUGGAGGCAACGAAAGCGUGGGGAUCAAACAGG